rnacentral:lncRNA from 1 species
AGUAAAGCCUUCUCCAAAGAGGCGGGGGUCUCAGCCUGGUUCUUCCUUGUUCCUCGUCCUCUGAGGUAGCAACUGCCUCAUCUUUUCCAUCUAUGGAGUGUGGAAUAUGUGCCCUACUUCAUUCAGGAAUGUUGGACAAACCAGCUAUUUAGAGAGUGAAGGAGAGGAACUUCCGAGAGCAACCGGCCCCCAAGAGAAACCCAGGGACUCCUGCCCUUCGGCAGCUUUGUCCAUGUGCUGCUCACACCAAAAAGCACUCGAGGGUGACCUGCACCAAAAAUGCAUUGCCGUAGUCUGGGCACAGUGGAUCACGCCUGUAAUCCCAGCUCUUUGGGAGGCCAAGAGAAGUUAGAACACUUGAAAUUAGCUAAGCGAGAAUGCCAUCAGCAGUGCAUCGAUCUCAGCUGCAUCCAGGUGUAUCAGUUGAAUGGCAGAGGGACUAGAAAUUACAUUUCACGAAGAAAAUUUACAGAACUAAAGAUAUUUAGGCUGCAAAAGAAAAGACUAAGAGAACAGUAUACAAGCAUGGUGAAGAGUGAAAUCUCUACUGCUAAACUACAGAGGUAUCCGAUACAGGUUCUUAAGUGCUGAGGGACUUUGCAUAAAUUACUGAUGCUGUGGUUUUGGUUUUCUCCAGUGUAAAUAGUGUUGAAUACAGUAUCCAUAAAAUACCUGAACAGGUUGAGAAAGGAAAUGUGUAUAAAGUGGUUAAAAAGAGACUGACGCAAAGUAAGUGCUCUAUAAAAAUUGCCUGUAAAAAAUAAGACUACCACAAAUAAUGCUGUCUUUUUUAAUGUAUUUAUUAAAUAUAUGUGGUACUAAAUAAAUGCACAUAUACAUAAAUAUGUUUUAAAACACAUAUAAUAUGCCAAAAUACAUAUUAUUUUAAAAUAAACAAA